AGGACGAACGCUUGCGACGUGCCUAAGAAAUGCAAGUCGAACGGAAUUACCUUCGGGUAGUUUAGUGGCGAACGGUCGCGUAACACGUGGGCAACCUGCCCUGAAGCGGGGGACAACAACUCGAAAGAGUUGCUAAUACCGCGUGUGUAUCGGAAUGGCAUCAUUCAGGAUACAAAGGACUUCGGUUCACUUCAGGAUGGGCCCGCGGCCUAUCAGCUAGUUGGUAAGGUAAUGGCUUACCAAGGCUUCGACGGGUAGCUGGUCUGAGAGGACGAUCAGCCGGAUUGGGACUGAGAUACGGCCCAGACUCCUACGGGGGGCAGCAAUUAGGAAUCUUGCGCAAUGGGCGAAAGCCUGACGCAGCGACGUCGCGUGAAGGAUGAAAUCUUUCGGGAUGUAAACUUCUUUUACCAGGGAAGAAACAAUGACGGUACCUGGUGAAUAAGCCCCGGACUAACUACGUGCCAGCAGCCGC
rnacentral:rRNA from 1 species